rnacentral:rRNA from 1 species
CACGUAGGGGGCGAGCGUUGUCCGGAUUUAUUGGGCGUAAAGAGCUCGUAGGCGGCUCGGUAAGUCAGGUGUGAAAACUCUAGGCUCAACCUAGAGACGCCACCUGAUACUGCCGUGGCUAGAGUCCGGUAGGGGAGCAUGGAAUUCCUGGUGUAGCGGUGAAAUGCGCAGAUAUCAGGAGGAACACCAAUGGCGAAGGCAGCUCGCUGGGACGGUACUGACGCUGAGGCGCGAAAGCGUGGGGAGCAAACAGG